UGUCACAAACAGGUGGCAGGAGGCAGC
rnacentral:piRNA from 1 species